rnacentral:ribozyme from 14 species
UACGUCUUUUGGGCCUGUAUUUAUUCAUUUUUUCUUUUCUGAUUCUCCUUGUACUUAAUUCCUGUCCCUAUUCUUGUGCUAAAUUUGAAUUAGAUGUGGAAGAUUGAGGUAUCAGACGCUGCA